rnacentral:tRNA from 1 species
GAGGGUAUAACUCAGUGGUAGAGUGCCUGCUUAGCAUGCCCAAGGUCCUGGGUUCAAUCCCUGGUACCUCCA